GCCCGGAUAGCACAGUGGUAGUGCGCUUGUCUUGUAAACAAGAGGUCCGUUGUUCAAUCCAGCGUUCGGGCA
rfam:Parasitella parasitica strain CBS 412.66 genome assembly, contig: contig_22048